rnacentral:lncRNA from 1 species
AUGGGAUUCUUGGGGCCAUUUGGGGGCCAUUUGAGGCCAUUUGGAGCCAUUUAUGAGAUUCUUGGGGCCAUUUGGGGGCCAUUUGGCACCAUUUGGGCCAUUUAUGGGAUUCUUGGGACCAUUUGGGGUCAUUUAUUGGACAUUUUGGGGCCAUUUAUGGGGCCAUUUGGGGCCGUUUAUGGGAUUCUUGGGGCCAUUUGGGGCCAUUUAUGGGAUUCUUGGGGCCAUUUGGGGCCAUUUAUUGGACAUUUGGGGUCCAUUUUGGGGCCAUUUGGGGCCAUUUAUGGGAUUCUUGGGGCCUUUAUGGGGUCAUUUGGGGCCAUUUGGGGCCAUUUAUGGGAUUCUUGGGGCCAUUUGGGGCCAUUUAAUGGACAUUUGGGGGCCAUUUUGGGGCCAUUUGGGGCCAUUUAUGGGAUUCUUGGGGCCAUUUGGGGUCAUUUAUUGGACAUUUGGGGUCCAUUUUGGGGCCAUUUGGGGCCAUUUAUGGGAUUCUUGGGGCCAUUUUGGGGCCAUUUGAGGCCAUUUUGGGGCCAUUUAUGGGAUUCUUGGGGCCAUUUGGGGUCAUUUAUGGGAUUCUUGGGGCCAUUUGGGGCCGUUUAUGGGACUCUUGGGGCCAUUUGGGGCCGUUUAUGGGAUUCUUGGGGCCACUUAUGGGAUUCUUGGGGCCUUUAUGGGGCCAUUUGGGGCCAUUUAUUGGACAUUUGGGGUCCAUUUUGGGGCUAUUUGAGGCCAUUUGGGGCCAUUUAUGGGACAUAUGGGGCCAUUUGGGGCCGUUUAUGGGAUUCUUGGGCCAUUUGGGGCCAUUUAUUGGACAUAUGGGGCCAUUUUGGGGCUAUUUGGGGCCAUUUUGGGGCCAUUUGGGGCCAUUUGGGGUCCCUUCUUGCUGUCCCCACCCCAUUGAUUCCCCUAUAAAGACACACAGCUGUG